ACCAGGAGCACCUGAUGGGCACCGCGGGCACCCAACGGCAACCCAACAGGCACCCAGUGGCCACCAUGGGCACCCAACGGGCACCACAGGCACCCAACGGCAACCCAACGGGCACCCAACAUCGACCCAAGGGCACCCAACAGCCACCAGGAGCACCCAACGGGCACCGCGGGCACCCGACGGCAACCCGACGGGCACCCAAUGGCCAUCGCGGGCACCCAACAUCGACCCAAGGGCACCCGACGGCAACCCAACAGCCACUGGGGGCACCCAACGGCAACCCAAGGGCACCCAAUGGCCAUUGCAGGCACCCAACGGCCACCAGAAGCACCCAGCGGCAACCCAAGGGCCACCACGGGCACCCAACAAUAACCCAAGGGCACCCAACGGCAACCCAACAGGCACCCAACAGCCACCAUGGGCACCCAACGGCCACCAGAAGCACCCAACGAGCACCCAACAGCAACCCAAGGGCCACCACAGGCACCCAAUGCCAACCCAACGGACACCCAACAGCCACCAGGAGCACCCAACGGCAACCCAACAGCCACUGUGGGCACCCAACGGCAACCCAGAGGCACCCAAUGGCCAUUGCAGGCACCCAACAUUGACCCAAGGGCACCCAACAGCCACCACGGGCACCCAGCAGGCACCAGAAGCACCCAAAGGCAACCCAAGGGCCACCAAGGGCACACAACGUCAACCCAAAGGGCACCCAACGGGCACCAAGGGCACCCAACGGGCACCCAAUGGCCACCCAAUGGCCACUGUGGGCACCCAACAGCCACCCAACGGCCACCAGGAGCACCCAACGGCAACCCAAUGGCCACCAUGGGCACCCAACAGCAACACAAGGGCACCCAAUGGCACCCGACAUCAACCCAACGGGCACCCAACAGCCACCGCAGGCACCCAGCGGGCACCAGGGACACCCAACGGCAACCCAACGGGCACCCAACAGCCACUGUGGGCACCCAACGGCAACCCAAGGGCACCCAAUGGCCAUCACGGGCACACAACAUCAACCCAAGGGCACCCAACGGGCACCCAAUGGCAACCCAACAGCCACUGUGGGCACCCAACGGACACCCAACGGCCACCAGAAGCACCCAACGGCAACCCAAGGGCCACCAUGGGCACCCAACAGGCACCCAAUGGCCACGAGGAGCACCCAACCACCAUCAGGGGCACCCAACAGGCACCCAACAGCCACUGUGGGCACCUAACGGCAACCCAAUGGGCACCCAGUGGCCACCAGGAGCACCCAACAGCAACCCAAGGACCACCAGGGGCACCCAAGGGCCACUGUGGCCAACCAACGAGCACCCAAUGGCCACUGGGGGCACCCAACGCCCACCGCGGGCAACCAACGUCAACCCGAUGGUCACCAGGGGCACCCAACAGCAACCCAAGGGGCACCCAAAGGCUACCGGGGGCACCCAACGCCAAUCCAACGGCCACCAUGGGCACCCAACGGCAACCCAACAGGCACCCAACAGCCACCGUGGCCAGCCAAUGGGCACCCAAUGGCCACUGGGGGCACCCAAUGGCCACCUUGGCCAACCAACGAGCGCCCAAUGGCCACUGGGGGCACCCAACGGCAACACAACGGCCACUGGGGGCACCCAAGAGGCACCGUGGGUGCCCAACAUCGACCCAAGGGGCACCCAAUGGCCACUGAGGGCACCCAACGGCAAGCCAAUGGGCACCCAAGGGCCACCAGGAGCACCCAACAGCCACCAUGGCCAACCAGUGGGCACCCAAUGGCCACCGGGGGCAC
rnacentral:lncRNA from 1 species